UCUAUAUACGCUUCUACGUGAAAGACUCAUUCAUGCCCAUUGCUCAUUUUCUGACAGAGAUUGGUGUCUGGUGUUUUUACUAUUGAGUUUGGAAAGUUCUUUAUAUAUUCUAGAUACUAGUCCUAUGUUGGAUACGUGGUUCCAAAUAUUCGUCCAAGUCUGAAGUUUAUCUUUUCAUACUCUUCACAUGGUCCUUCCUGGUGUGAUCAGAAGGACACCUUGGAGUUGUUAUCGGGAUUCUGAACCAGAUUGGAACCUUUGAAGUGCUAUUUGGGUUCAGAAGUAUGACCAAUGAUCAAGGUCUACAAAGACCCAGUCAAAUAGUACAAGGCAACAGGGGCUAAUUUGUAUCGACAAACUGAGGAAGCUGAUGCCACCAAAGUUGUACAUUCCCGGCUAAACACCUAAGGAUGAUCCCUCCGCGUCUAAUUUGUUAUCUCUCUGAUGGUGGAUGAAGCGAUGAAAAUUCCUAAUUCCUUCUUUGGUCAUCUUAGCUGCUAAUCUACAAUGACUUCAGUAGUUAAGGGUUGAGAGUCAUCGUUUCAUUAAAAGAUAAUAUUAUUCUCUUUA